UGUGUGACUGACAAGCUGUGAGGUGACUCC
rnacentral:piRNA from 1 species